rnacentral:lncRNA from 1 species
CAGAGGCCCACUCCUACUAGGAGACAGGCAUUUUAAUUGGCACCUCCUUACAAAGGCUCCAGUGUUCUAGAGCUUUGCAUACAGGAAGAUUCUCGUUGAACAAUGAAGCCAAACCUCGCUUCCAAAAUUCCCAGUUUGGUAGUUCACUGUGGAUGAAGAGGCCGGAGACACCCUUAGACAAGCUGGGACCGUGAUGAUAGGAACCAGUUUGUGAAGGGAGGAGGCUGGGCUAACAGGAUCUAGGGAGAUAGAUGAUAUCUGGACCUUAGGUAGUUCGUGUUACUCAAAGUCAGCAAGGUUUUUGUUGUUUUUUGAGACAGUCUUGUUAUGUUGCCCAGCCUGGAGUGCAGCAGUGCGAUCUCAGCUCGCUGCAACCUCCACCCCGUGGGUUCAAGCAAUUCUUGUGCCUCAGCCUCCUGAGUAGCUGGGACUACAGGUGCGGGCCGCCACACUUGGCUAAUUUUUUGUACUUUUAGUAGAGAUGGAGUUUCACCAUGUUGGCCAGGCUGGUCUUGAAGUCCUGUCCUCAAGUGAUCUGCCUGCCGCAGCUUACCACAAGUGCUGGGAUUACAGGUGUGAGCCACUGCACCUGGCCAAGAUCAUUUGAUGUUCUUGGGUGAAUGGCCACUUUCACCUGGAUCCCACCAAUUUUUGGUGCCCUAGGGAGCAUGAUCCAGAGUUCCCUCAAGACAGAGGAUGUGCUAAAGGCAAACUCCAGAGGUCAUCCUAUCCCCAUGCCUUCCGCCUUUCUAAAGAGAAGCUCUUCUGCCCUGCUGUUACCACUCAGUACUCUAGAUUAAACCUGUUCCCCACGUUCAUUCUGUACCCAUGACUAUAUUUCUGCUUCCUGGAAAGUUGUAGCCAUAGGAAUGAAAAACUCACCAAUCAGUUGUGGUCUUCCUGAGGCAAGUCAGUCACCUUCCUACUCUGGUAUCUUCCAUGGCUACCAGCUGGCCACAGAACCAAGCACUGACUCACCAGCCUCCAGUCUGGUUCCUUUUCAGCCUUUUUGCCACCCCUACAGCCCAUACUACAUCAUCCAUUCUGGCCAUCUCAGAUUCUUCCUUGCUAGCUCCCACCUUUCCCUGCAUCCAGUCCUCUGUACUAUUUCAUCUAUUUGAACACUCUUUUCUCCCUGCAUCCUGGGUCUCCAUUCAAAUCUUCCUCUUCCCUGGAAGUACAGCUUCAGUGGUUAACAUCACAAAGCAAAGCUGACUUCAGCAAACUUUCCAAGACAACCAGGGACCAACACAGUUCAGAUUAAAGGGGAUAAAUAAAGUGGCUUUAAGAUCACUUGUAGUUCAGAGGUCACCCAGGGGAUUAGGAUCUAUGCAGAGACCUGCAGAGCCACGCUGCUUCCCCAAGGGACCCCCUUCAUGCUGCUGGAACUUGCCCUACCCCUCAGGAGAAACUGGGCUGCUGUAGCUGCGUCACGCAGGCGGCUGUGGGCCAGCCCGGAGCAAAACUGUGUUGCUUGGCAUUUCUCCACUUCCUCUCGUGGCCGACGUCAUUCUGUGACUGUGCAGGGAUUCAUGCUCGCCAUUGCACUCCACAGUGAGAUACUUGAAUUGAUUUAAAAUUUAUUCACCCCAGUGUUCACUCCCACCUUAGCCCCAUUCCAUGCGCCCUUACCCUUACUCAUCGCAGUAUCAAAAUAACUCCCAAAUGGGAUUGCUGUGCUUGAACACCUCCCAUCAUGCCUCUUACCUUCUGCAUGCAUUUAGUUAGUUCCUGAAGCAUACAGCCCCCUCACCUGCAAGCCCCGCCUCAGCGCACACCCUUGCCAGGUUGGAGGAAGUCCUGGUACCCGGAGCAGUUUGCUUUGUUUUUGCAGUGUCAGUGAUCUCACAAGCACUUGGUUGGCCACACAGUCCUAUCGAUAACUUCCAGCAGAUAACCCAAGUGGGUGACUGGGGGGUGGAAGCCAGGUCUCGGUUCCUGUGUGUGACCCAAGGCCCCCCAGCACAGGGCCCACCCUCUCAUCUGGCUCAGCCAGGUCUUGCAGAAUGGGCUCUGCUGAGAUCUAACCAGACACAUUUGCUAUCUGUUAGGUGAGCUCAUUCCUGGAACCUAGCAGGUAUUCCGUUCAUGGCUGACUCUCAAGGGAAUGAAGGGAAAAGGAAGAGCGGGUCUGAGAUCCUUUGGAUUAUCUUUACGAAGCAAAAGCUUCUGUGAACUGUGAUCUUCAGAACGAAUGCUGGGCCUAUCCAGGUCUGUCCGCAGUACCCAAAGUCGUAGCUCCGUGAUGAGCUAUGAUGUAGCCCAGCCACACUCAGUGACGGCUCCUGGUUCCUCACUUGCCAGGGCAGCUUCAGUUCCUGCCGCGGUGUCAGUGCAGAUUGAUUCCCGCUGCGUUACUGAACGAACUCCUGACCCUGGGCUCUGAGCUGAUGAGCUGGCUCCAGAAGGUGUUAAUCAUCAUCACUCAGGUGUGCUGUCCUCACAGAGUCCUGGUGCACCUGGGAUCCCAGUAGCUCCACAUUUUCUUUGCUGCCUUCGAGGUUCACAUCUUCAGGGUCCCACUAUGGAGAAAAGAUGCAAAGGGUAGCUGGGUGGAACGGAUAGAUGCUUCUCAUCUGUCAUAACCCCUGACCCAAACAAAAGCUCCAAUCUUGGUUCUCAUGAUCCAGGCACAGACAAGGACAAAAGGGUAAGGACAAGUUACCCAGGCCUGUGUUUCUGGGACCUAAGGAGGCAAGCAUAACUUUACAUCAAGCAACUAAUGAACAACCACCCUAAACAUAACAGCUUCACUUUCCUUCCCGCCCUCAUUCUCCACUCUUCUCUGCCUCUACCAAGUCCUUAUCUAGUGACACUGAGUCAUGUUCUCCUUAUCCUGACUCCAUGCCUAACUCAUUCCUGGAAAAAACCAGGCAAACUUAAUCCUUUUUUAUUUUUUUAAGACAGGGUCUUGCGGUGUCACCCAGGCUAGAGUACAGUGGUGCAAUCAUAGCUCACUGCUGCCUCAAACUCCUAGACUCAAGCAAUCCUCCUGCUUCAGCCUCCCGAGUAGCUGGGACUACAGGUAGAUGAUGGGCUCCACGGGAACAGAGCAAACGUUCGCUCCUGCUCCUACACGGUGUUUCCUCUAAACCUGAGGCUCAGCCGACUUGUCAUCACUUAAAACCCAAUUCAGAGCGGGGGGGCACUGCCAGUGAAUAGUUCAUCACCGACUCAGUUUCCCCAUGUGUAUGCUGUGGUAUUGGAUCAGCAACGAGAUAAGAAGAUCUCUCCCAUUUCCAAGCGUCUAUGAUGAUUCUGAGGCACAAGGUCACAUUUGACAGUACUAGGAAACCCAGGAAACAAGAAGCAAAGAUGACAAAGGCUGUGUCUGCCUGGGCAGACGAUCUAUUUGGACAAGAUAAUAGACCCAGGCAUGGACAUGCUCUCCAAGAAAGAUGCCCUGACAGCUGCUCACACUGAAGCUGAAUCGAACAUUCCAAUCCUUAGAGGUUCCAGCGAAGAUCUUGAAGUCUCCCUGAGCCAUUGACACAAUGGCCAUGCCAUCCCAGUGAUAAAACACAAAUUGUGGCCUUGUUUUGGACAGAAAUAAAGAGCCCAGUUUGUUAGUGAUUUACUGAUAAUAACUGAAUCGAGUACUAAUACUUGGCGAUUUUAAAAGCCAUCAUGUUAAAAAGACCACCUGAUUCCCAGUGACCCUGCAGUGACUGGGUUUGGGCAGCUCGUCCCCUGCACCUGUUUGGGGCUGUGCCAGCCACUUCCAGUGAGAACAUCGCAUUAACUUGCGGUCGCAGACCUGGCUGGACCCCUUGAACCAAAUUCCUUUCUGACCUUAUCAGACCCCAAAUAAAAGAGCUCACCAG